UACGGGGGGUGCGAGCGUUGUCCGGAAUCACUGGGCGUAAAGGGCGCGUAGGUGGUUUGAUAAGGGUGUGGUGAAAGUCCGGGGCUCAACCCCGGAUCUGCCGUGCCGACUGUCAAACUCGAGGACUGUAGAGGCAGACGGAAUUCCGGGUGUAGCGGUGGAAUGCGUAGAGAUCCGGAGGAAGACCGGUGGCGAAGGCGGUCUGCUGGGCAGU
rnacentral:rRNA from 1 species